AGCAGGCUUUGAGAAGAAAACAGAAUUGCAAAACUGUCGCAAGGGGGUGGCUUCAAAAAUCUCACACCUGCAUGUUAUUCUUAAGUUCCGACAGAAAAGACAUGCAAUUAUGCUGCCAAUCUUGACUAUGAACGUGACUGGUGUGCAGACACU
rnacentral:snoRNA from 1 species